rnacentral:rRNA from 1 species
UUUGGGAAUAUUGGGACAAUGGAGGAAACUCUGAUCCAGUGACGCCGCGUGAAGGAAGAAGGUCUUCGGAUUGUAAACUUAUUUUGUCAGGGAAGAAAUAAAUGACUGUACCUGAAGAAAAAGCACCGGCUAACUACGUGCCAGCAGCCGCGGUAAUACGUAGGGUGCAAGCGUUAUCCGGAUUUACUGGGUGUAAAGGGCGAGUAGACGGCGAUGCAAGUCAGAUGUGAAAUGCUAGGGCUUAACCUUAGAACUGCAUCUGAAACUGUAUUGCUAGAGUGCAGGAGAGGUAAACGGAAUUCCUAGUGUAGCGGUGAAAUGCGUAGAU